rnacentral:tRNA from 2 species
AGUCCAUUAGCUCAGUAGGUAGAGCGUGGGUCUAAUAAACCCAAGGUCAGCGGUUCAAUCCCGCUAUGGACUA